UUCCUGGCUUCUCAGCAACAGCAGCUGAAGCCUGGGAGUGCAUCAGGUUGGGACCUGCUCCCCAGGUCCUGCUGCUCUUGCCACAUAACAAAUCCUCCCGCACGUAUAGAUUUCCCCAGUGGAGGAGGGCAGGCAUUCUGGUGCUUCGGGGCUGGCCCACAGUGCAAAAGGUACUGAUGUCACACAUGUCACAAUGAGUUUCUGGUGACAUCACAGGGCUUUCAGGAACUACCAGACAGAACACACAAGUUCUGAUCUCAGGGAACGUAAAAUUCCCAGAUUCACUAGGCUGCCUUGCUAUCAAGCAGUAUUCCAUUUCUGUCUGAUUCAACUCCUCCUGAUCAGUGGUGGUAAGGCAACACCUGGAGUACUGUGCCCAUUGCAGGACUCACCCUCAUGAGAGAGAGAUGGGUGUAUGGGAGAGCACCAGUGAAAGUUCUACAGGACAAUUAAGGAACUAGAGCAUCUCCCCUGUUAUGAAGUGCUGAAAGCACUGCCUACAGACUCUUCAACCUGAAGAAGACUCUGAAAGAGAUGAUUCUGUCACAACCCACGAAUUGCUGCAAUCUAGCUACACAUCCUGUCAAGAUUUAUUGCCUACCCCCAUUGGAAUGAACCUUGCACUGGUGAAAAAACUACUGCAGCACAACAACAUGUGUUAACUGCUGGAACUUGUCUGAAGCAAAGGACAAUGGACACAGAACUUAAUCACUGUUCAUUCUGCUAUAGAAGAGCUACACCACGUCUUGGAAAGAAUGAAGAAAGACUAGAAGACAUCAUUAGUGGGACAUUUUGUUCAUCUGGCCACCACCAACAGCUGAACAAAUGUUGCACACCAUCAAUAAUUUUGUUGUUUUCUGUCA